CUGCGGGGAUAGCUCAGUUGGGAGAGCGUCAGACUGAAGAUCUGAAGGUCAGGUGUUCGAUCCACCUUCACCGCAUUUUAUUUUGUUGUAUUUCACUAAUUUUGAAUUAUUUAUUUAUAAACAUGGGGCAAUAUAUCAAUAAGCUGGAAUAGCUCAGUUGGCUAGAGCGUGUGGCUGUUAACCACAAGGUCGGAGGUUCAAGCCCUCCUUCUAGCGUCCU
rnacentral:tRNA from 1 species